UACGUAGGGUGCAAGCGUUAAUCGGAAUUACUGGGCGUAAAGCGUGCGCAGGCGGUUUUGUAAGUCAGAUGUGAAAUCCCCGGGCUUAACCUGGGAACUGCGUUUGAAACUACAAGGCUAGAGUGUGGCAGAGGGGGGUGGAAUUCCACGUGUAGCAGUGAAAUGCGUAGAGAUGUGGAGGAACACCGAUGGCGAAGGCAGCUCCCUGGGCUAACACUGACGCUCAGGCACGAAAGCGUGGGGAGCAAACAGG
rnacentral:rRNA from 1 species